rnacentral:rRNA from 1 species
AGAGUUUGAUCCUGGCUCAGAACGAACGCUGGCGGCGCGUCUUAAGCAUGCAAGUCGAGCGGCAAGCUAUGUGUUUACACGUAGCCUAGAGCGGCGGACUGGUGAGUAACACGUGGGUGACCUACCUAAAAGUUGGGAAUAGCCGUUAGAAAUAGCGGGUAAUACCGAAUGUGCUUACAGGAAGAAAGUCUUGUAAGGAAAGGAGCUACGGCUUCGCUUUUAGAUGGGCCCGCGCCCCAUUAGCUAGUUGGUGGAGUAAAAGCCUACCAAGGCGAUGAUGGGUAGCCGGCCUGAGAGGGUGAACGGCCACACUGGGACUGAGAUACGGCCCAGACUCCUACGGGAGGCAGCAGCUAAGAAUAUUCCACAAUGGACGAAAGUCUGACGGAGCGACGCCGCGUGGAUGAUGAAGGCCGGAAGGUUGUAAAAUCCUUUUGUCAACGAAGAAUAAGCGGAGGAGGGAAUGUCUUCGUGAUGACGUUAGUUGACGAAUAAGCCCCGGCUAAUUACGUGCCAGCAGCCGCGGUAACACGUAAGGGGCGAGCGUUGUUCGGAAUUAUUGGGCGUAAAGGGCGCGUAGGCGGUUUUGCCAGCCUGAUGUGAAAGCCUGGGGCUUAACCCUGGAAUUGCAUUGGGAACUGCAAGACUUGAAUCAUGGAAGGGAAAUCAGAAUUCCAGGUGUAGGGGUGAAAUCUGUAGAUAUCUGGAAGAAUACCGGUGGCGAAGGCGGAUUUCUGGCCAAUGAUUGACGCUGAGGCGCGAAAGUGCGGGGAGCAAACAGGAUUAGAUACCCUGGUAGUCCACGCCGUAAACGAUGAUCACUGGAUGCCGGCGAUACACAGUCGGUGUCUGAGCGAAAGCAUUAAGUGAUCCACCUGGGGAGUACGAUCGCAAGGUUGAAACUCAAAGGAAUUGACGGGGGCCCGCACAAGCGGAGGAACAUGUGGUUUAAUUCGAUGAUACGCGAGGAACCUUACCUGGGCUCAAACGCACUUGGAAGCGCGCCGAAAGGCGUGUGCCAGCAAUGGCCGGGUGCGAGGUGCUGCAUGGUUGUCGUCAGCUCGUGCCGUGAGGUGUCGGGUUAAGUCCCAUAACGAGCGCAACCCCUACUGCUAGUUGCCAGCGCGUCAAGGCGGGGACUCUAGCGGAACUGCCGGCGUAAGCCGUGAGGAAGGUGGGGAUGACGUCAAAUCAGCACGGCCCUUAUGUCCAGGGCUACACACGUGUUACAAUGGCCGGUACAGAGGGCAGCCACCCCGCGAGGGGGCGCGAAUCCCGAAAGCCGGUCCCAGUUCGGAUCGGAGUCUGCAACCCGACUCCGUGAAGCUGGAUUCGCUAGUAAUCGCGCAUCAGCUACGGCGCGGUGAAUACGUUCCCGGGCCUUGCACACACCGCCCGUCA